GUGAGGAAUAUUGCGCAAUGGAGGCAACUCUGACGCAGCCAUGCCGCGUGCAGGAAGAAGGCGCUACGCGUUGUAAACUGCUUUUAACCGGGAAGAAACCCCAGGACGUGUCCUGGGUUGACGGUACCGGAGGAAUAAGCACCGGCUAACUUCGUGCCAGCAGCCGCGGUAAUACGAAGGGUGCAAGCGUUAUCCGGAUUCAUUGGGUUUAAAGGGUGCGUAGGCGGAGCGUUAAGUCAGUGGUGAAAUCCUGCAGCUUAACUGUAGACUUGGCAUUGAUACUUGCGCUCUUGAGUGCGGUUGAAGUGGGCGGAAUGUGCCGUGUAGCGGUGAAAUGCUUAGAUAUGGCAAAGAACACCAAUUGCGAAGGCAGCUCACUAAGGCGAUACUGACGCUGGGGCACGAAAGCGUGGGGAUCGAACAGGAUUAGAAACCCGAGUAGUCC
rnacentral:rRNA from 1 species